ACACGUGUUGUCCUCUCAUAGGUCGUUUUACAAUAGAAAAGAUUCUUUAUUAGAAACAAUUUUCCAUGUGUUAGCACUGACACAACCAUUUCGCUGACAUGAAAAUUCUGUCGUAUCCAGCUUGGGCAGGUCAUGCUAGGGUUAACACCAGAGUUCACACUUGAAAUGAUAUGAAGUUUGUGUCGUUUGUUCUCUUGAUAGUCGAUUCUAAGACAGUCAUCUUCAAGUUGAUAUGUGUAAUCAUUGCACUUAGAUUACAGCUUGUUCCCUUUGAGACAGUAUCUUGUGUAGUAUGAUCAUAAUGAUAAUCUACCUCCAAAUUACAAUAGCCAAUUGUCUAUAACAUUGCACUGACGAACAAUACUACUGCUUAAGAAUGAGUCCCAAACUAGUUUUUUUUUUUUUUUAAAAAAAAAAAUGAUCUUUGUGUUUUUUUUUUUUUUUUUUUUGUUUCUUUGGUUUUCAAGAUUUUUCUCUCUAAUUAUUUUUUUUUUAAGUGAGAGAAGGUUUCCUUUUUUUUUUUCCUUGCUAGAAUAAAAACUUCAUUUUUUUUUAGAAAAGUAGAAAAUGUUUCUCAUUUAUUUAAGAAGCAACAAUUGACAUUUAGGAAGUGUACCAACCAAUAAGUUUCUUUUCUUAAUUUUUAUAAUCGACUUCAUAAGAUAUUUUUAUUUAGACAAUCUUUCUUCAAUCCUUCACAGAUUGCAUAAGUUGAUUGACACAAAAAAUAAAAAAGGCAUGAUGGGGAGAACGUGAGAGUUUAAUUCAUAAGAAUUGAUGCCUUUAGGUUAUAUGAACCUACCUUAGGGUGAGGAGCUGUUAACCAUAAAAUUUUGGUGAAAAAUGAAUCAAAUAUUCUUAUUGUGGUCAAAGAACCACCAUCCACAUUGCUUUCUCUAUUCAUAGUUGUGUAAGCGAGUUAAUGUGAAUAAACCAUGCACCUUACUUGGAUAUUCAUAAAAGCUCCAAGGAACCUACCUAAGUUAUCAUAAGAAGCAAUCCCACUUCUAUAAGUGAACCCAUCAAGUAUGUCUUGUAACUAAAUACACUACCUAUAAGGGAUAUGAUAUUCAUUAAGUGUAAUGACCUAAAGUUAUUAAAAGUUUAACUUUGGUUUACUUAAUCCAUUAAUGCAAAUUAAUACUUUAAAAAUAACAAAUUUUGAAAGAAAAUAAAGCUAAAACUUAUGGGACGACUUGGGAAUAAGAUUAGAUAUGCAAUUAAGGUGAUAACCCUACUCAAAAGUGGCUUCAAGUGAAAUUAGUACAAUGAGACUUCUCUACAACAUUAGUGGUCAUACAAGCUGGGAGCUUAGUUAACAACUUGAUUAUUAUGUGGCUUAGAAUUCAGUCAACAUUUGCACCCUUUAGUGGUUGUUGCAAUAAGGUUGCCUGGCCUCCCAAUAUUGCUUCAAAAGGAGCUAAGUACAACUAUUGUAAACUAAUGUUUACACUCAGCAACAACUCAACAAGGCCAACUAGUUACUUGCUUUGUAGUCAUUCAAUAAAUUCAUAAAAAAAAAUAUAUAGAAGAGCCGGAGGAGUUGAAAUUUUUUUGGGAUAUAUCUGCUUAAUUCAUGGUGCCAAGUUGCAGCUCAGUUGUGAGUCAAGUGAAAAAAUUGGAGUUGAAAUUAAUCAACUUGCAUAAUAGAUAGAGAAGUUGCUAUUUUAAAAUUUUGUUUUCUUAUGGUUCUUGAAAUUGAAACUAGUUAUUUAAAUAAUAAUUUUAGGUUAUGUAUGAGGGGUGAAAAUGGUUUACAUGCUAAAUGAUUUAUUAUUAAGAAAAUUUUAUUGUGUGUUGAUGAAGUGAAACUAAUUGUGAUUAAAAUGCUGAAUUUGUUACCCAUGGUUGAAUUAUAUUCUUUAUUAGAACAUACUUUAUUAUACUUGAAAACUAACCUAGUUGUGUAGCAUAAGCAACAUGGUGAAGUGGUGAAGGCAUUGAAAUUUCAAAUCUAAAACACCAUGAUAAUAAAUAUUUGGAGGGGGGAUUUAAGUACCUUAGGGUGACCAACCUAAAACAAUAUCCGGGAGGAUUCAUGCAUAGAUGUAAUAAGGGGCAUAGACAUAUAUCUUUGGGUGGUAUUAUAGCAGUGAGCAACAGAUGAAUCCAAAACUGUUCUCUGAAAACCAUAUGAAAGGCAUAGGAUAAGUUGGAAAUUAGAUGGUGAAAAUAGUUGCAUAUCUUGGUGAUCUUUUACAUGUUGAUUGAUGUAGUGAAAAACAUUGAAGUGAUCGAUGUUUUUUUAUUUUUUUAUUCAGCUUUAAUAAACACUUUUCUCUACUAGGCUAUAGUUUACUCUUUCAAGAACAUGAUUUUUUAGGCAUAAAUGAAAGUACUUAAGAAGGGAGAAAUGUUGGAGAUGUUAUAUAAAGCUUGAAGACAUCUUGUUGAUUAUGUUUAAUGUGAUUUCUCUAUGUACUUUAACUUUUCUACUACUUGGUGGUUUUAUUUUGGGAAGAAUAGAGGGUCAUAAUCAUAACUCUGUAAAAACAUUGUUGUACAUAAGAACUCGAGGGUGAAGAUUCUCACUUGAUUGUGUAUAUUGAAUUUUGUUGUAUGAAAAAAUUGUUUUCCAAUUGUUCAGGUAGUUUUCAUGGCUUAAAAAUCUUUCAUUGGAAGUUUAAAGAUGAUUUCAAAAGUUUUAGAUGUGGAAAAAUGUAGAAAAUUUGAAAAAUGGGAAAAUUUCAUAUUUUGGGCAAACAACUUGGUGUAGGUUUUUAGUGCGCCAACUUGUUAGGUGCACAUUUUGGUGCGCUAUCAUUAUGUGCACUUUUUCAGUACACUAGCCUUAGUGCACUCAUUUUUGGCUUAUUUCUUUUUUAAGUGUGCCAAAUUAAGUGACAAUGCUCAUUUGUGGUGCAUUUCUCUUUCAAGUGUGCCAACUUAAGUGACACACCUAUAGGGAAUACCAAGAUCACUUUGUUCCUUAUACCUAAGACCAAUCAAGGUGCAUGCAACUUUCCUAGGGCUUCUAGAUCCUAGCAAUAGAAGCAUAGAUAUCAAAACUUUUCCUACUAUCUAAAGUCCAAUGUUUUACCUCAUAUCUUAAUGAUACCUAAAUCAAUUCCCAUAAGUGAAGAAUGUGCCAAAUUCACAAAGAAUCCCAUAAACUUAACAAUCUUUCACUUGAUGGCUCUUCCUUCAAUCUUGGCACUCAAAUGGAAAAGAUCUUACAAAUGGUGAAAAUUAAGGUUCUCUCUCUUUAAUGAAUAGCAAGCAAGAUUGAAACCCUAACCCCAAAGCAGGGUAUUUAUAGGUUUCCCAUGGAAUUAAGUGACUGAAGCCCGUCUUAGGCUUGAGUUACUUAAUUUAGCCCAAAAAAGGUCCUAAUUGAUCGAUCAAGCUCUAAUUAAUCAAUUAUCUCAAUCUAGAGAGAUUAUCAUCAAGCUUCUAUGCAACCUUACAUAUUUAUCAAAAUGCUCUUAUCCACACAAGUGAAUUAAGAAUCCAUAUAACCCUUAUAAACUAUGUUGCCUAUUAGGAU
rnacentral:lncRNA from 1 species